rnacentral:rRNA from 1 species
CCUACGGGGGGCAGCAGUGGGGAAUAUUGGACAAUGGGGGGAACCCUGAUCCAGCCAUGCCGCGUGUGUGAAGAAGGCCCUCGGGUUGUAAAGCACUUUCAGUGAGGAAGAACGCCUGGUGGUUAAUACCCAUCAGGAAAGACAUCACUCACAGAAGAAGCACCGGCUAACUCCGUGCCAGCAGCCGCGGUAAUACGGAGGGUGCGAGCGUUAAUCGGAAUUACUGGGCGUAAAGCGCGCGUAGGUGGCUUGAUAAGCCGGUUGUGAAAGCCCCGGGCUCAACCUGGGAACGGCAUCCGGAACUGUCAAGCUAGAGUGCAGGAGAGGAAGGUAGGAUUCCCGGUGUAGCGGUGAAAUGCGUAGAGAUCGGGAGGAAUACCAGUGGCGAAGGCGGCCUUCUGGACUGACACUGACACUGAGGUGCGAAAGCGUGGGUAGCAAACAGGAUUAGAUACCCCAGUAGUC